AAACCAUGGUGUGGACAGCUCCUCAAUAAAUCCUUGAAACAUUCGUAGUAAUUGUAUAGAGUCUCAUUCUCUUACUGAAGAAAUCCAGCUAUGUCAUUCCUCAACUU
rnacentral:snoRNA from 1 species